rnacentral:tRNA from 1 species
GGGGCGUUAGCUCAGUUGGUAGAGUGCAACAAUGGCAUUGUUGAGGCCAUCGGUUCGAGUCCGAUACGCUCCA